CCUACGGGAGGCUGCAGUGAGGAAUAUUGGUCAAUGGACGAGAGUCUGAACCAGCCAAGUAGCGUGAAGGAUGACUGCCCUAUGGGUUGUAAACUUCUUUUAUAUGGGAAUAAAAUGUUCCACGUGUGGGAUUUUGUAUGUACCAUAUGAAUAAGGAUCGGCUAACUCCGUGCCAGCAGCCGCGGUAAUACGGAGGAUCCGAGCGUUAUCCGGAUUUAUUGGGUUUAAAGGGAGCGUAGGUGGAUUGUUAAGUCAGUUGUGAAAGUUUGCGGCUCAACCGUAAAAUUGCAUUGGAAACUGGCAGUCUUGAGUACAGUAGAGGUGGGCGGAAUUCGGGGUGUAGCGGUGAAAUGCUUAGAUAUCACGAAGAACUCCGAUUGCGAAGGCAGUUCACUGGACUGCAACUGACACUGAGGCUCGAAAGUGUGGAUAUCAAACAGGAUUAGAUACCCGGGUAGUC
rnacentral:rRNA from 1 species